CAAAAUUUAAAGAGAAAGUCCAAAGUCUUCAAGGAUAAGACCUUCCCUCGCAGAAGCCGCUCUUCAAGAUUUUAAGCGCUCCAUAAAAUUUUUACUUACUUUUCCCUCCUCUCCACGUAAGUUUCUACUUCUUUUUUUCUCUCUCGCUUUCUCUGAUUUUCUUUUUCAAUUUUCUUUCACUUUCUUUUUUCUACUUUCUGCUCCGUUUGGCUUUCAAGAAAAACCGUGUCACAAAUAAAAGAAAAGAGAAAAAUCUUGAUAAAUUCUUGAAAUCUUUAGCUAUUAUCAUACGCUUGAAUCUAGGGGAAAAAAAAGUUUAUUAUUCCUGAAUGCGACUCAGACUUCCAUUUCGGCUUUGGUUCUUGUUAGAAUUGUGUUUCCUAGAAAACUUUAGUAUAGAAGAAAUGCUUGGUAGUUGGGAUUUUCUGGUUUUUCAUUAUGUUCGUUGCUCUACAGUUUUCUUGAAUACCAAACGGCCGAAUUUUUUAAUUUAGAGAGUAGGUUUUGGGUUUAUUUUGGAUAUGGUGGUGUUGGGUGGUUUGUUAUUAAUGCGGAUUUCUUAAAAUCGUGAGCACAUAGGUUGCAUUGGGAAACCCUAAUUUCGUGCUCUUAAGUUGGGGGAACUAGGGUUUUUUUACUUGUAAUGGGUGUUGAAGAAGGAACGAGCAAUGGUGACGGUUCAGAAUGCUCUGAAGGGGUUAGGUUUUUUCAGAGUGAUGUAGUCAACAAUGGGUUUGAAGUUGGCACUGGAACUAACAUGGGUGACGGUAGCUCCGGAGCGAGUGAGUGUAUUCGAACUUACAAGAGGCGGAAACAUUUGAAGUCAACCAUGGAGAGCAAACUACAGGAAGAUGGAAGACCUUAUGCAGAGGCAGCGAGUCAAUUAGUGGACCAGGCCCUGAAAGAGCAACAAGUCAUGGUCAUAGGCAGCAAUUCUUGUGAGCAAGUCUUCCUCCAUUUGAAUGGCUCAGAUUAUUGUUCACAGAGGCCAUAUAGAAAUGUUGUAUUGGAGCACUUAUAUCAGUCAUUAAGUGAUGAUGAAGGUGGCAUACAAGGAUGCAUCCGGGAUGCACUCGAAUUUUAUCCAGACAUUGGUCGUGUGAUGACAGUUAAGGAGUAUGAUCAUCAUGUUGGCCAUAGGCGAGAAUGCUCUUCACCAACAGGGUGUCUCUUAAAUGGAUUUCGGAGAGAAGAUAGUGAACAUGCGGGUAUCUCCUCUAAUGGAUACUUAGAUACUUCAAAAUGUACUGUAACUGAGACUUGUCAGCGUGCUUUUUUUAAUACUUUAAUAUCGGAAGACUUUGCCUCAUUGUGCAAGCUAUUGUUGGAUAAUUUCCAAGGAAUCAAGGACAAUGUUUUUGACUUUAGUCUUAUAAACUCAAGGAUGAAAGAUGGAGCUUAUGAAAGUUCACCUAUGCUUUUCCUCUCAGAUUUUGAACAGGUAUGGGCAAAGCUUCAGGGAAUUGGAACUCAAAUGAUUUCUCUUGCAAAAAGCCUCUCUGAAAUUUCAAGGACUUCCUACAAUAAACAGGUUGGAGGUUCUGUCCGCAACACAUUUCAAGAUGGAAAACAUGAGUUGCAUACCAAGCAGUCUGACUCUCACCCUAAACUGGAGCAAUCAGAUGAUUGUGGUUUAUACAAAGUUUGCACUUGUAUGCGCUGUGGGGACAGUUGUGAUGGGAGGGAUCGUCUAGUCUGUGAUUCAUGUGAGGAUAUGUAUCAUGUCUCCUGCAUUGAGCCUGCUGUCAAAGAGAUUCCCCACAAAAGUUGGUAUUGUGCCACUUGCACUGCAAGUGGAAUUAAAUCACCUCAUGAAAAUUGUGCAGUAUGUGAGAGGCUGAAUACGGUUAAGACCAUAGUAAAUGGAGUUGGUAACGACAGUGCUCCGACUAAUGGAGAAGCACAUAAUGAAUUGGGAGAAAAUUCAAACUGUAGUUCAGAUGAAUGGUUUCACUCAUCAGAAAUGGGAAAAGGCUCAUGUGUUUGUAAAAUUUGUGGAAAUGAGAUAGAAGAUGGCGAAAAGUCAAAAACAUGUAGUCACUCAGUAUGCCCCAGUAGAUACUAUCAUGUGAGGUGCCUGACAAAAAUGCAGCUAAAGUCAUAUGGUCCACAAUGGUACUGCCCUUCUUGUCUGUGCAGAACUUGCCUCACUGAUAAAGAUGAUGAAGAUAUUGUUCUAUGUGAUGGCUGUGAUCAUGCCUAUCACAUUUAUUGCUUAAAGCCACCCAAGACUUCCAUUCCAAGAGGAAAAUGGUUUUGCAGAAGAUGCAACGUAAGAAUUCGAUCAAUACGGAAGGCAAAGAGGGCUUAUGAAAGAAGACAGAAGAAAGGCAAUGGAGAAUUUAAGGCAUUUGAGAAUAAUGAAAAGAAGUGGGUUGAUAAAGAUAGCAUGGAAUCAGAUAAAAAUAGGGAAGGGAUAGACAUGCUUAUAACUGCGAUGAAUUUAUGACGAUGAGCAAGUGGCUGGAAAUUUCAGUGAAAUGUUUUGAAUACAAGAAGGUAUUAUAUGAGUACGAGAUUUUGAAUGGUUUCUUCUAUGGGCAAUAAAUAUUAACAUGUAGGUGUAUCGCAGGAUGCUCGACAUUUUCCAUUUGCCUCAUUAUUUGGGAAGACUGAUAUUUUGGUAGGGUGUAAACUGUGUUAGAUUUGACUGACUUUUUGGAUACGUAUAUCGGGGAAGACAUGAUUCUAAAAGCUGUAUAUCUACUACAUCGGUCCCCGCUUAAAGUGGAGGGAUUGAGAAACAAUACCAGUUUGGUAAAGUGACCAUUUUAACCAUCUCUUGUUGAAUACCCUAAACGCUUUGUACCAUGAAGCAUACUGUAUCCUUUACUUGGGUUCUUUAAAGUGGAUUUUGCAAAAGACUGGCAGUUGAUUGUUUCUUCGACCAAAAUUGCAAAUUUUCAGGUUUCAGCCCUCAUCCUUGAUUUGGAUUAGUGAAUAGCAUCAUUUCCCAGGAUUCCUUUUUCUACAACUUCUAUUCCUUUGCUCAUUUCUCCCCUAUAUGGAAGUCAAAUGAAAUACAUCUUCUUCUUCUACUUUUUUAUUUUUUAUUUUUUUUGUGGUGGUGGGAGAACAAUUGUUAAAAUACCACAUGCACUCUCAACGUGUCUAUUCUUUAAGCACAUCAAGCUAACGAACCACAAGCUGUCACCUCAGAGAUCUAGACUGUCAUUUUUUCAAUGAAGUCUUUACUAAACAGCUGGGAUUGAUGUUUAAACUUCAUUUGUUACUA